AGUGGCGGACGGGUGAGUAACGCGUGAGAAUCUGCCUUGGGGUCGGGGACAACCACUGGAAACGGUGGCUAAUACCGGAUAAGCCGAUUGGUGAAAGAUUCAUUGCCCGAAGAGGAGCUCGCGUCUGAUUAGCUAGUUGGUGAGGUAAGAGCUCACCAAGGCAGCGAUCAGUAGCUGGUCUGAGAGGACGAUCAGCCACACUGGGACUGAGACACGGCCCAGACUCCUACGGGAGGCAGCAGUGGGGAAUUUUCCGCAAUGGGCGAAAGCCUGACGGAGCAAGACCGCGUGAGGGAGGAAGGCUCUUGGGUUGUAAACCUCUUUUCUCAGGGAAGAAGCUCUGACGGUACCUGAGGAAUCAGCCUCGGCUAACUCCGUGCCAGCAGCCGCGGUAAUACGGAGGAGGCAAGCGUUAUCCGGAAUUAUUGGGCGUAAAGCGUCCGCAGGUGGCGAUUCAAGUCUGCUGUCAAAGCACGGGGCUUAACUCCGUAAAGGCAGUGGAAACUGAAUAGCUAGAGUGCCGUAGGGGUAGAGGGAAUUCCCGGUGUAGCGGUGAAAUGCGUAGAGAUCGGGAAGAACAUCGGUGGCGAAAGCGCUCUACUGGACGGCAACUGACACUCAGGGACGAAAGCUAGGGGAGCGAAUGGGAUUAGAUACCCC
rnacentral:rRNA from 1 species